UUUUACCAGACCCGGAAGGCGCGGGCCUUAGUGGCGGACGGGUGAGUAACGCGUGGGGAACCUGCCCCGUACCGGGGGAUAACACCUGGAAACAGGUGCUAAUACCGCAUAACAGAAGGGGACGCAUGUUCCUUUCUUGAAAACUCCGGUGGUACGGGAUGGACCCGCGUCUGAUUAGCUGGUUGGCGGGGUAACGGCCCACCAAGGCGACGAUCAGUAGCCGGCCUGAGAGGGCGGACGGCCACAUUGGGACUGAGACACGGCCCAAACUCCUACGGAAGGCAGCAG
rnacentral:rRNA from 1 species